UACAGAGGGUGCGAGCGUUGUUCGGAAUUACUGGGCGUAAAGCGCACGUAGGCGGCUUUGUAAGUUAGAGGUGAAAGCCCGGGGCUCAACCCCGGAAUUGCCUUUAAGACUGCAUCGCUUGAAUCCGGGAGAGGUGAGUGGAAUUCAGAGUGUAGAGGUGAAAUUCGUAGAUAUUCGGAAGAACACCAGUGGCGAAGGCGGCUCACUGGACCGGUAUUGACGCUGAGGCGCGAAAGCGUGGGGAGCAAACAGG
rnacentral:rRNA from 1 species